GACGAACCGUGCAAACGUUGUUCGGAAUCACUGGGCUUAAAGGGCGCGUAGGCGGGCCUCCAAGUCCGGGGUGAAAGCCUCCAGCCUAACUGGAGAAGCGCCUCGGAGACUGGGGGCCUCGAGGGAGGUAGGGGCAAGCGGAACUAUGGGUGGAGCGGUGAAAUGCAUUGAUAUCCAUAGGAACUCCGGUGGCGAAGGCGGCUUGCUGGACCUCUUCUGACGCUGAGGCGCGAAAGCCAGGGGAGCAAACGGG
rnacentral:rRNA from 1 species